rnacentral:piRNA from 1 species
UGGUUGGUUGUCCUUUUUCCAGGUUCCAGGU